CCUACGGGUGGCUGCAGUGGGGAAUAUUGGACAAUGGGCGAAAGCCUGAUCCAGCCAUGCCGCGUGUGUGAAGAAGGCCUUCGGGUUGUAAAGCACUUUCAGUGGGGAAGAAAGCCUUGGGGCUAAUACCCUCGAGGAAGGACAUCACCCACAGAAGAAGCACCGGCUAACUCCGUGCCAGCAGCCGCGGUAAUACGGAGGGUGCGAGCGUUAAUCGGAAUUACUGGGCGUAAAGCGCGCGUAGGCGGUCUGAUAAGCCGGUUGUGAAAGCCCCGGGCUCAACCUGGGAACGGCAUCCGGAACUGUCAGGCUAGAGUGCAGGAGAGGAAGGUAGAAUUCCCGGUGUUGCGGUGAAAUGCGUAGAGAUCGGGAGGAAUACCAGUGGCGAAGGCGGCCUUCUGGACUGACACUGACGCUGAGGUGCGAAAGCGUGGGUAGCAAACAGGAUUAGAUACCCGAGUAGUC
rnacentral:rRNA from 1 species